rnacentral:rRNA from 1 species
AUCCGGGUUGCGGACAGUGUCUGGUGGGUAGUUUGACUGGGGCGGUCUCCUCCCAAAGAGUAACGGAGGAGCACGAAGGUUAGCUAAUCCUGGUCGGACAUCAGGAGGUUAGUGCAAUGGCAUAAGCUAGCUUGACUGCGAGAGUGACGGCUCGAGCAGGUGCGAAAGCAGGUCAUAGUGAUCCGGUGGUUCUGAAUGGAAGGGCCAUCGCUCAACGGAUAAAAGGUACUCCGGGGAUAACAGGCUGAUACCGCCCAAGAGUUCAUAUCGACGGCGGUGUUUGGCACCUCGAUGUCGGCUCAUCACAUCCUGGGGCUGAAGUAGGUCCCAAGGGUAUGGCUGUUCGCCAUUUAAAGUGGUACGCGAGCUGGGUUUAGAACGUCGUGAGACAGUUCGGUCCCUAUCUGCCGUGGGCGCUGGAGAAUUGAGGGGGGCUGCUCCUAGUACGAGAGGACCGGAGUGGACGCAUCACUGGUGUUCGGGUUGUCAUGCCAAUGGCACUGCCCGGUAGCUAAAUGCGGAAAAGAUAAGUGCUGAAAGCAUCUAAGCACGAAACUUGCCCCGAGAUGAGUUCUCCCUGACCCUUUAAGGGUCCUGAAGGAACGUUGAAGACGACGACGUUGAUAGGUCGGGUGUGUAAGCGCAGCGAUGCGUUGAGCUAACCGAUACUAAUGAACCGUGAGGCUUAACCUU